rnacentral:rRNA from 1 species
ACGUAGGGUGCAAGCGUUGUUCGGAAUUACUGGGCGUAAAGGGCGCGUAGGCGGGCCCGUAUGUCGAUCGUGAAAGCCCUGGGCUUAACCCGGGAAUGGCAGUCGAAACUGCGGGUCUUGAAUGCUUGAGAGGAUGGCGGAAUUCCCGGUGUAGAAGUGAAAUUCGUAGAUAUCGGGAAGAACACCUGAGGCGAAGGCGGCUAUCUGGCGAUGCAUUGACGCUGAGGCGCGAAAGCGUGGGGAGCAAACAGGA